rnacentral:rRNA from 1 species
AGUGAACGCUGGCGGUAGGCCUAACACAUGCAAGUCGAACGGUAGCACAGUAAGAGCUUGCUCUUACGGGUGGCGAGUGGCGGACGGGUGAGGAAUACAUCGGAAUCUACUUUUUCGUGGGGGAUAACGUAGGGAAACUUACGCAAUACCGCAUACGACCUACGGGUGAAAGCAGGGGAUCUUCGGACCUUGCGCGAUUGAAUGAGCCGAUGUCGGAUUAGCUAGUUGGCGGGGUAAAGGCCCACCAAGGCGACGAUCCGUAGCUGGUCUGAGAGGAUGAUCAGCCACACUGGAACUGAGACACGGUCCAGACUCCUACGGGAGGCAGCAGUGGGGAAUAUUGGACAAUGGGCGCAAGCCUGAUCCAGCCAUACCGCGUGGGUGAAGAAGGCCUUCGGGUUGUAAAGCCCUUCUGUUGGGAAAGAAAAGCAGCAGGUUAAUACCCCGCUGUUCUGACGGUACCCAAAGAAUAAGCACCGGCUAACUUCGUG